rnacentral:rRNA from 1 species
UUCCCCUAGUAACGGCGAGUGAAGCGGGAAGAGCUCAAAUUUGAAAUCUGGUAGCCUUCGGUUGCCCGAGUUGUAAUCUAGAGAAGUGUUUUCCGCGUUGGCCCAUGUACAAGUCCCUUGGAACAGGGCGUCAUAGAGGGUGAGAAUCCCGUCCUUGACAUGGACCCCCAAUGCUUUGUGAUACACUUUCAACGAGUCGAGUUGUUUGGGAAUGCAGCUCAAAAUGGGUGGUGAAUUCCAUCUAAAGCUAAAUAUUGGCGAGAGACCGAUAGCGAACAAGUACCGUGAGGGAAAGAUGAAAAGCACUUUGGAAAGAGAGUUAAACAGUACGUGAAAUUGUUGAAAGGGAAACGAUUGAAGUCAGUCAUGCUCUUUGGAUUAAGCCGUUCUGCGGUGUAUUUCAUUGAGCGGGGUCAACAUCAGUUUUGAUCGCUGGAAAAGGGCAGGAGGAAGGUAGCACUCUCGGGUG